rnacentral:ncRNA from 1 species
UGAAAAGCGAAGAUCGUGCACAGUAGAGACCUGUUUUCUUGCAGAGAGAGAGAAUCAUCGGCUGAAAGUUCUCUUAAGUUCAGAUAGCGAUUGAAAUUCACACGUGAGCUGUAUUUUUGAAAGGAAGCAUCUAAGGGACAGUCAGGAGAACGGAUAUGUCCGGAUGUGAAAAGUAGAGAAUGCCGUAUGUUGUACGUUACACAAUUUAGAGUGCCUGUAGAUGGAUUACAGGAAUCAGGGUGGUACCGCGAGUGAUUCAGACCUCGUCCCUUUU